CGCAUCUGUGCAUGCAGCAUAUCAAUAAGCGGAGGAAAAGAAACUAACAAGGAUUCCCUUAGUAACGGCGAGUGAAGCGGGAAGAGCUCAAAUUUGAAAUCUUCAAGGUUUUACCUUGACGAAUUGUAGUUUAAAGAAGUGUUUUCUGUUGAAGUUUUGGUAAAAGUUCUUUGGAAUAGGACAUCAUAGAGGGUGAGAAUCCCGUAUUUGACCAUUAUUUUCAGCUGUGUGAUACACUUUCAAAGAGUCGGAUUGCUUGGGAGUGCAGUCCAAAAUGGGUGGUAAAUUUCAUCUAAAGCUAAAUAUUGGCGAGAGACCGAUAGCGAACAAGUACCGUGAGGGAAAGAUGAAAAGAACUUUGAAAAGAGAGUUAAACAGUACGUGAAAUUGUCAAAAGGGAAGCGUUUGACACCAGUGUUGUUUUCUCGAAAAUCAAUUAAAAAGAGUUUGAUUUUGUUGUGUAUUGACCUUAACAGCUUGCAUUUCAAUCUUUUCCAUUGCUUUUUUUAAUGCACUUUUCGUUUAACAAGUCAACAUCAGUUUCUUUUGUUGUAAAAAGGUCAUUGGAAGGUGGCUUUCUUUUCGGAGAAAGUGUUUAUAGCCUUUGACUCCUGCAAUCGGAGAGACUGAGGUCUGCAGCGUAGAUCCUUCGGGGUUAGAUACAUUUGUGCUAAGUUAUAGCUUUUUAUAGACAACUUGUUGACUAUGAUUAGUCUUGUAGCUUACUCGCUUAUGCUAUUUUACCUACGCUUAGGAUGUUGACGCGCGUGUGUGCGUGAUCUAUACAUGACUCUGUGCAUAUCAAUAAGCGGAGGAAAAGCGAAGAGGCAGACCCUCACCUUACUACCUACGCUUAGGAUGUUGACGCGCGUGUGUGCGUG
rnacentral:rRNA from 1 species